ACCAUGGUUUUGUCCUUCCAAUUAAUCGGGUAGUUAUUAUCCUUGAGGCGCCUACUCCCUUAUAUCAGGCAUCCUGGUCGCCUACCCUGUACAUAAACUAUAGGAUUGUGCUAUGUGCUUUAGCAGCCAAGUGAUUAUUUAAGCCAAAAAAACAAUUCAAGCAAAUUGCUCAAAACUUGCAUCAUUAAAACAUCCUUAUUGUUAUU